UGUGCUUUUAUUUUGGGAGCUUGCUCCUACAAUUUAUGAAUCCUAAAAGAUCAAAGAGGGGAAAUAUACUUUAGAAAUUUAAGUUACUCAGUAUAUUAGAGGAUCAAGCUAUCAUGCAAGACAUAUAACAAUUAGUUGAAAAUGGUUUGGUCCUUGUGAAUUUCAUCAUCUUGGUAGAAUUAUAAAUCAGAGGCAAGUAUCUAUAAAUGUAACCUAUGGAGGGAUAUAGACUCCACACGAGUAUGCUUGAUCAGCUUAUUUGGCACUGUGGUUUAGGUAGAGUGACAUUACAUAAUAUGUGAUGACUUUGUUCUGACGUCUUCUCAUCACAAAGGAUUGAUGGACCAAAGUCACAGAAAUGUCAUUGGUGAUAAAUUCAAGCUAGGCUUUAAUCUUUCUCACUUGAUGUAACAUCAAAGAGGAAUAACACAGCCUGCAAGAUACUUUAGACAACUUAUUAAAGAAAAAGGAUCCACAACUGACAGUUUGAGUGAAAAUUGUAUUGAUAAUUUAAGGUACAUUUUCCUUCUGAGUUAGUAGGGAUUUCACAGAUAAAGGUUCCAGCUAACCAGAAUUUCAAGAAAAGCAAACCCCUGUAUUUCUGUAGUUAACAUACGUCUUAUCUCUCAAGCAGAUUUAAUCUUAUCGUUAAAAGGGCCUUGAAAAAGUGGUAUGUUCAGUAUCUAAUUUGAGUAUUAAAAGUAUAGUUAUUACUGAGAACAAUGCUGAUGACAGCUUUUUUAUCAAAAUCGAGCUGAUGUAUUUAGUCCUUAAAAGCUUCAGGUAUCUGCUUUAAGUGCCAGAAAGAAAGCUGAAGUUGUCCUUUGAUCCUUCAGUAGGUAAAAACAGAUUCACUGAGGCUAAAAAGAAAUACAUGCAUCUGAAUGAGUAGAGACUUAUCAAAGAAUAAAUAUGUUUGGGAAGAAAUCAAAAUAUCUUCACACAACUGCUACAGGUCCUUGUUGUCUGGAGACAGGAGUGGUACCCUCAGGCUGAAAGACUGCCUGGACUUCAACUUGAGUAUAAGAGAGAAGUGUGCCAACCCUGUAGAUUCACAGGCUCAGCUGGAUUUCUUUACACGUACUAUGAAAAGAAACAUCGUUUUUUAGAAAUCAUGAAUUUUCUCUGAAAUAGACUCAAAGACUCAUAGAAUCAUCCAGAUUGGAGAAGACCUCUAAGAUCAUCUAGACCAACCAUCAACCUAUCCCCACCAUGCCCAAUCCCAGCAAGGUCUCAGGGAGGAAGUCUCUGUAAAUCUUUUUAAUAAACCAUUUUUCCCUAGUUUGGCCACAAGGAUGUCGUGCAGGACAGUGUCAAAUGCUUUGAACAAGUCCAGAUAGAUAGUGUCAGCUGCUCUUCCUUUAUCUACUGAUGCUAUAACUCCAUCAUAAAAGGCCACCAAACUUGUUAGGCAUGACUUACUCUUGGUGAAGCCAUAUAAAACAAUAUCUGUAUCUUUGCCAAGCCUUUAGUUUGUUGGAAUCACACAAGAAUAUGAAAUUAAAAUAAAACUUUAAGAAUUGGAGUGCAUAAGUUAAAGCAUAAAAAUUGUAAUGGUUAGUACUCUGAGCAUACGCUGGUCUCUCUGCCUCAAUGGAGGCACCUACCUCCAUACUGACGUUCAGCAUUUUCAACAAUAUGUCUUAAUUUUGCACCAAAUCUCACACGCCUUUUUCACAUGACUAUCCUGCUGAAUGUCAGCAGAACUGCAUCUAUGAAUAACAUUAUAAAAUUUGAUAGCUGAUUUUGAGGUUCAUGAGAUUUCAAUUCUGUGUAGAUACUAUGCUUCUGUAUGGUGCCAUAAAUUAGUAAUAAUUGUUCAGGAAUUUAUUUUCAACUAUUGUUAAAAUAUUAUUGAAAUAUGAUAAUUGCAGAAAGGGAGGAAAAGAGCUGUAUCUAGAACAGGCUAAAAAGCAUUUUUCUUCUGCUUACUGCUCAAUUUCUGGUUAGAUUUUUCUAUUCUUUAACACUGUGAAAUGUAGUCCUGUAUACUGAUAAGCAAUAAUACAUUGGUAGUAAAUUCAAGACACAAUAGAAUAAAUUUUCAAUGAGUGGUGCUUGAUAAGGCAGGAUACUUGUCCCUAUUCAGGUACUUGUACUAUUUUUGGUCAAGGUCUUUCGAAAAAUAUUAGGAAGUAGAAUACACAAAUUGAGUGUACACAAAAAAAAAGUCCUAAUGAGUACAAUGAUACUGUAGUCUGUCUUGUUGUUUGCAUUUCAAAGAUUCAUAUACAUUUAAAAAAGUAUUCUCACUAUAGCUAUGAUGUAAAAAGUUAUUUCAUUUUUCAUUCAGUCUUUGUAAUUAACAUUUUUAUAAAUCUGUACAACUAUCUUCGGAAAAGAGAAAAUGCACAACGCCUCUUCAACAAUUGAUAAUAGAAAAUACAAUGAACUGCUAAAGAAUUAGAUUCUUAGAUCUCUGAAUGAACAUCUGCAGAUCCUGAAUAUUUGCUUAUAACAGUUUCAGAGUAUCUGAGGGAGAAAAUAGUAAUUUCUUGCUUUUGACUACUUAACAGUGCAAGAGAAAACAGUUCUGGGUUUUAUUUGUCUGUUGGAUUAUCAAUGAUGGAAUUACGGACGAAAUAUUUUUUAUUUAGCAAUCGUCAAUCUGUGUUAAAAUUUUUGUUUGCUUGUUUGUUUUUAAUUUCACCUAUUUUUCUUCUUUAAAAGUAAGUUGGGAAAACACCAUUGAACUAAGAACUGUUUUCCAUUUGAUGAUAGUUACAAUAAUAGGGAAGAAGGCUGGAGAAGUUUCCUCUUUUUAGGGGACGUGUUUACACAAAGCUCUUGAGUACCUCAGUGCCUUAAGUGUGUUGGUAUUUUGUUUGUUUGUUUGUUGACUUGGUUUGGUUGUUGCUGCUUGUUAGUAAAAAAGUGCAUGUUCUUUUCUCUUUUGAAAGGCUCCAGUGUCCAGCCAGUUCAGAAUUUUUCUAGUAUAGGUCUUUCCUUGCAGUUAUUUUGUGCUUGUGGAGCAAGAGAAAAAAGUAUUCUAUCCUUGAAUUUAAAAAAAUAAUAACAAAAAAUGCAUGAGUAGCGUUAUGUAGAGAAUUAGUAUUGUGAUCCUCCCUUGUUUACAGGCAAAGAGAUAAUAAAUCUAUAUUUUUUGUGUGCAAAUCUCCUCUUCUAAGGUUGCAAAGAAUUUCAAGUCAAACAAAACCAAAACAAAUAAAAAACUACUUUUUGUCUGAAUGUUAAAAUAACUCCAAAUAAUUGUCUAGUCUACUAAAAUUAAUUGAAUAAUCUGUUCACCUCAGUUUGAAGUUAUAUGUCAGAACCACAUUUGACCCCUUGGCAGAUAGAUGUCAAUCAUGACAGAGUGUAAGAGAAGAAAAAAACAAAAUUUCAAUCAAACAUCCAAAGAGAUUAUGCGGACAGAAGAUAAAAAUAGCUUCCUACUGAAUCUUGUAAUAUAGUCCUCCUGCUUUUUACUAGGAAUAUUCCCUAAAGUAGAAUAUGUAUUGGGCAGUAUCUGUGCUUAUCAGAAUAUUGAUCAAUGUUGUAGAUUCUUGCUAGUAAUCUUUGUUGCCAUUGCAUUUGGUUGGUUUACUUCACAUUCAUACUAGUUGUCAAAGUGAUAAAAUAUCUGAAAAUUGUCAAUAAGUAAUAUAGUCUUUUUUUUAUCAUCUUACUAGUAACAAUCAGAAUGGAACAUGUUAUAUUUUCCAGCUCUUGUUUAAUGGAAUGCCAGUCAUUGGAAUUAUUCUUGAACAAUCAAAAGAAAAUAAAAUUUAAUUCUAAUGGAAUAAGAUUCAAAUGUAUUUUGAUGAAUGAGGAGUAUAUUGAUGACAAUUACAUGGUUCAUGUAAUUUGUUCAUGCAGAUGCCAUAUCCAAACUGCAUGAUAUGUAUCUGUGAAUGACAGUGUUAAAGCUUCUACUGCUUUAAUUCACAGAUAAGAAAAUAAAAGAAAUCCAUGUUUUGCUUUCAUUUCUUCAUGUACUGUAUUUUUCCUUUGUCUGUCCAAAGAUGAAAAAAAAUAAUGUGCAUGUAGUCUCUGAACCCCUUAGGCAGCAUAAAUUUUCAUGAUAGACAUUGAUAGUUUAACUCUUCUAGACA